rnacentral:rRNA from 1 species
GCGCGAAAACUUGGCAAUGCGAGAAAUCGUGACCAGGGAACUCCAAGUGCGUAGGGUAAGACCUACGCUUUUCUUGACUCUUCAAAGGUCUUGGAAUAAGGGGUGGGUAAGGACGGUGCCAGCCGCCGCGGUAAUACCGGCGCCUCAAGUGGUAGUCGCUUUUAUUGGGCCUAAAACGUCCGUAGCCGGUCUGGUCCAUUCGUGGGUAAAUCAACCCGCUCAACGGGUUGAAUUCUGCGAGCACGGCCAGACUUGGGACCGGGAGAGGUGUGGGGUACUCUCAGGGUAGGGGUAAAAUCCUGUCAUCCUGAGAGGACCACCUGUUGCGAAGGCGCCACACUAGAACGGAUCCGACGGUCAGGGACGAAACCUAGGGGCACGAACCGGAUUAGAUACCCGGGUAGUCCUAGGUGUAAACGCUGUGGACUUGAUGUUGGGGGCGCUCCGAGCGCUCUCAGUGUCGAAGCGAAGGUGAUAAGUCCACUGCCUGGGGAGUACGGUCGCAAGGCUGAAACUUAA